AAGCACCGCUUUCAUAUCUUUAACAAAUAUUUAUUUGAGUUUAUUGACGCGUGGUUUGCAUUCUUAUUACAUAUUUCAAACAACAAAAGAACAACAAUAACAAUAAUAACUUGUUAUGCUUUUCUAAAAAUACCUACAUUCUUAGCAACAAUAAGACUACAUAAGAAUAGGUAUAAUAGCAGUAAAUAGGAAGACUAGCCAGAAACGGCGUCUCAAUGGUAACCAAGAAAGCAUACUCAAACAAAGCCAAAGAAAAGCUUUUGUUAUAUGUAGCUACCCUGCAGUACGGCUGGUAUGAAUUCGUGAAUUGCACUAGUGAAUUCAUAUAUUACAAGUAACUAGUGAAUUCAGGACAACAAGGUAAUGCAGAGAAGCAAUAGUACAUAAGCGAGAUUGAGAGAGAAGAGAGCGCGAUCUAGAGUACGUUGUUCUCAAUAAGUACUCUCAGUAAAAUAUCAGCGACAAAUAAGGGUGGGAAUGCACAUUUGAGAGAUCUGGUACAGUAUGUACAAGUUGCGAAUAAUUAUUGGGCAUUAUUGUUUUUGCCUACAUAUCGGUCAUUGAAACUAUGAUUCACUGUAUUAAAAAAUAAGAAAACGGCGGUUUCUAUGUAAUUUGGAACUUUAGUUUUUCGACCAAACAGUCUUGUGGUUUAUUCAAUUGACUUCGCGUCGCGGUUGUGUGUCUUGAUUUUUUAAUAUACAUAUUCAUUAUUAAAAAGUUAAUAAAGAAUUAAUAAACAAAAAAGUAUAAAUUAUUUAUAGUGAUAACAAAAAAGUGAAAAUGACGAGAAGCGUGGCAGCAGUAGGAAAGGAAAUAAGUCUUUGCGAGUUAGAGGUCAAAAAUGGCAAUCAUAUUGAAAUUCUCAUUGGGAAGUGGAGAACAGCGUGGAAUAAAGUCUUUCCAAACAAAUAGUAUGGGUAAAUAAUCUCAUUGGCCGACGCUUUUCAAGAGUACAAUACGAAUGGUAAAUAAAAAUUGUAAACAAAAAAUUAUAAUAAAAAUUAAUAUUUUAAAUUUAUUGCCAUUUAAAUAUAUUGUGUUUCUUAUUUAUUUAUGGUAUCCACUGAAAUAAAGGUAGGUAAUGAAAAAGGUAGUGAAUUAUAACCGAAUAUAUGUAGCGAUGUAGCUAUUGAAAUAUAUUCAGCGCUAUGUGGUGAAGUAGCUAGCGAAGUAUGGGUGAUGAAAUCACUAGUGAGUAGAGUUAACUGGUUACCGUCAAUGACAUCGCCGUGUUAAAUUCAUGAGUGAAUUGCAUUGCCGGUAUUAUGGGGGGUAACCAGUGGUGGUUACCGGUAAGUAGUGAACUCACUAGUGUUUCACUGGUGA